CCAACAUUUGAGGGAAAGUAACCGAGGGCAGACAGGGUCACAGUCCUAAUGUAAGGCCUGGGUCCUUCACAGCCUCAGCAUCCCACGCUUCUGCAGGUGACCUGGGAUGCCAGCAGGGCCAGGGUGCCAGGAAAGGGAGAGCAGUGGACGGGCAGCCGCCUGCGGAAGGGGCUGAGGUUUUCAUUCCCUGGCCAGGGGAAUCUGCAUCUGCUUUCGGGAGCGGCUGACUGGCUUCCCAGCAAGGAUAAAGGGCAGCGAAAGAACAUCCCUCCGUCUCCACCACGGGAGCCGCGCGCCGGCCAGGACAGCGGAGGCGCUCGCGCCGCACCGCGGUGGGCGCUCGGGGCUCGGGGAGCCCCGGCAGGGGCGCGCGGCGCGCCGGGGUCGCUGCAUGGGGCGCGUCCGAAUGGCCCGGGACCUGGCCUUUGCUUGGAGUCCUGUGAGAGCCCGCCGAGCAGGAAUCUGGCUGGGCUGGAGCCGGUCCGGGGCUGAACCUGGGCUGGUUUGAGGUGGGGUCCUGGCCGCAUCUGGAGUCUGCGUCCAGGGUUCGGGUCCAUCUGGGCCGGGUCUGAGGGCGCAUCUGGGAUUCUGUCGGUCAUUCCGUGUUGAUGUCAGGAUCUGGGUCCGGAUUCGGUUCCACAUGGACAUCAGGGCCCCACGCCCAGGUCUGCUCGCAGAAUCCUGGCCUGGAAUCCGGGUCCCGGUCCACAUGGACAGAUCGCUCCAUCCGUCUGCGCCCAGAAUCCAGGUCCGAUCCCUGAAUCCGGGUGCGGGUCCGGGUCGGAGUUUGGACCGGUGGAGACGUCAGGGCUCGGGCCCGUCUGCACCCAAGGUGCAGGCCCGUGCGGCCCGCGUGGACGCGGCGCCCAGCCCGCUCACCCGGUCCGGCGGCGGCACGCGCCCCAAUUAGCCGCGGCCAGGCCCCCGCGGAGGGCGGACAAAGGGCGCGACCCCGGGGUCAGGAGUCGCGGGCCGGCGGCCGCUGCUUUGUGCGCUGUUUGCUCAGCGGAGGCCGCGCGCGCGGUGUAGAUCGGCUAAAGCGGAUUAGGGGGUCGCGGCCCCUCGGGCGGGCGGGGCGAGCCAGCCCAGACCUCCCAGGACGCGCGCCCUCCGGGCCGCAGCCUCGCCGGCCGCGGGGGAAACUGAGGCAAGCUGUCCAGGCCGCCCACUGGCACCGCGCGCGGAGGUCACCCAGAGGCCCGGCAGAGCCUUUGAAGCCCAGGGGGACGUCCUAGCCUUGCUUCCUUGGUCGUGCAUUUGCAAGAAUUCUGCCCUGUCCAGUCCCGCAGGACCCGGGCAUUUGUUUUAGGGAUAAGCAGGUCACAGUUGCUUGAAAGUUAAGCAAAUUUUAGUGGGAACGGGGGCAGAUUUUUGUACAUUACAAAAUCCUGCAGCACGAUGGCUUAAAAAAUAAAAUUCUGGCCUCUGUUCUUAACCCAAGAGAUGCACCCCAGAUGUGACUGAGCCAGAGGAGACGUUUCGGAGAGACAGAAGCUCUUGGAAGCAAAAGCUAAAGAAAAUAAUUACGUUUCCUUUCUUUUUUAAGAAGGCAAAUGGUGAGUACUAACCACGAAGCCUUCCAUCCAGAGACCACAGUUUAUCGGCCGCUAUGGAUUCAGGAUCUCCAGGCGUCUCGGGGUGAACAUACAGUCUCUUAAAUUUCCUUCCACGCCACACGGGCGCACAGAACGGCAGCUCGGCAGUCAGGCGCUCCCCUCUGUCCAAGGAGAAGGUCCUCUGUCCCCUGCUAUCGUGUAGGGGACAAAACACUUUUUAAACCCACAUACAGUCUUAACCGAGAUGUUAACGCCCAUGGUUGUGUGCAGAUAGACGUUUGAUCACAGACCCCAGCAGAACGCGGUUAGCAAGCUACCAGUGCCGCACCUCUUUAUAGAAAAACAAAUGAUAUUUACUCACUACACAUGCGUGUCGUUCUAACGAAUAUUCCUCUGCCUUGUCUCUGUCUCCCACAACGGCAAGGACACAUGCGUGCAUCUGUAUUUCUACUCACGAGCCUUCCAAAACGACUUUUUCCCCUGGUUAUAAAAAUCCCAUGUAUGUAAGUAAAGAACAGGAAAUCUGACCUGUAAACCACUUUCAUGACAAACUCUGAACAGCAAUAUCUAAGAUAUAGAUAACUUCAGAAAUAAGCAGAAAAAUACAUAGCCUAGCUAUAAAGUGCGUAAAGGGGGAAAUUCACCUCCGCGCCGUUCCCCAGAAAUAGUAUUUUGUGAUGUUUCCUCCUCGUCUGCUGUCCAGGGAACACAGGCUGACAAUCGUGGAGAACUAUUGUAUCUACACCUCCCCUGCUCGUUACAAACUCUGUCAAUGGUAUUUCUGGGGUGACACAAAUGCCAUUAUUUCAUUCUGAGUGUAUCACUGUGUCCCCUGCUCUGUUUCUCGCUGAUACUUCUCUCCUGUACCUAAGACUCUAAGACUCUAGCCCACUGUGUGGUGAGUUACAGGGAACCUCUCUCGACCUGCCAUGAGGUCGUCGAGGCCACCGCGUCACUCUAAAGGGCGAAGGCUGACCUGUGGGUUCCAUGUGUUCUGUCCCAUGGGAACCUGGCACUUGUGAAUUCCUUUGGGACCGCAGUGGCUCUGGGAAGCAACAGGAAAUCUGUUGGUUGGUUUCCCUGCCUCGAGCCUGGUUGUGUGGAAUGUUUGCAUGCCAGCGCGUGGGGUUGGCCGAGGUGGAUUUGGGAUUGUGACCUGGCAUCCGAGGACUCUGCCCUGGGGUACUGCCCCGCAAGCCACUUGGCGUUCACUCCUGGGACUUGCACUCCUUGGGGGGCUUCGGUCAAGGUCAGAGGCUGAUGCACUGGACAGCGCUCAGCAGCCUGACCCGUGGCGUUUGUCUGAGAAGCGCUGUCUUUCUUUGCUGAGGACCCAAGCCACCCGAAUGCUUUUGGCCACCAACCCACGCUGCGGGCUCUCUGUGCUUUCUCGGUGGCCCGCCUGCCCUCCCCUUCCUCCCCUGUCCUGCCCGCUUAUCUCUCCCACCGCUGUGGCUCUCAUGGCCCCGCGCCCCUUGCCCAUGCCCGCAGCCCACUGACAGUCUGGCUCUGCGUGUGGCUGGCCUGUCCCAUCUGAGCUCCCAGAACCCCAAGGACAGCAGACUGCUACCAAGGGAGCCCAGGCCUGGUCACUGAGCAUGUCAGGCCAGAGCCCUGGAAGAGGAGCUACCACUACCUCUGACAAAGAGAAGCACAGAGGGGACCAGGGGACCGAGGCAGAAAAGCACGGUGGUGUUACCCUCCAAAGAAUGCUGCCAGGAUCGUGGAGAAGGAAGCCGGGGAGCCGUGGCCAGAGCUGCCUGCUUGUGGAGGAUUGAACUCUCCUCCCCAAACGUGCACCUUUUAGUAUGUUCCAAAUUUCCUACCCUGAGCAGCCCUGCUUCCAUGGUCAGAACAGGACUGAGUUACUGGUGUGUCUCUGUGCUGCAGGACAGAUACAGCUCAGAUAAGAAGGCUCAGGAGUCAAAGAGAAAUGGGGUCAUCCAUCAGCCUGAGCGGCCGGGAGAGCUACUGGGAGGACAGCAGUGCCUCCCGUGUCCCCAGCGCCUUGCCCUGCACAGCAGCUCUUCAAAACAGAAAAUGAAACCAGGCAGCGCUGCCAGGCAGACACCGGCUGCUGCUGUGCUCCGGGCUGCGGCCCUCGGCCGAGGUGGGCGAGGCCGGGCACUGUCCUCCUUUGAAGCUGGGAAGCUGAGGUUUGGAACAGGGCAGGUUCCACGGCUGUGGUCUCCUGGGUCAGCUCUCCCUGUAGCAGCUUCCAGGCCAUUUUCCCUGGGGGUCCAGUGGGCUUCCUGUUGUUCCCAAGGUUGUCCCCAGUGCUAAGAGGGGCGCCCUCAGCCUCGGAGGGACUGGGAUGGGCAGUAAUUCUGCAGGGUGUGCUUCAGCAUAAUGCAUUCAUAUGGGUCCCCUCAUUGCAGCAGGGGCACCCUGAAGCAUGGCCUUGUGCGGGGAGCUGGCCCUGGGGAGGAGACAGUGUCUCAGCCAGGUGGGGAAUCUUGUACACAAUGGCCUUAGAGGUAAAUGCCUCCCCCACCUUGGAAGGAAAAAAGUGCCCAGGAGGAGCAGGACUCGAGGGGACGCUCUCUCCACAAGGCCACUUGCCACUGGGCACACCCCGUUCUUACCCCUGGGGUGAAGAGUGGGUCACCUCCAAGCCCUGCACAGCAGGAGUAGGGACCAAUCUGCAAACCGAAUUUCUUUUAUUUUUCAUCCUAAGUAUCUUUCUUUAAAACUGGGCUAAAAGGCGAACCAGCACGCUGCUUUCCUCUCUAAAAGGCAAUUUCUAAAUUUGGACUAAAAAAAAAAAAGUACUCCAGCAUGAAAACCCAGUGGCUCUCAGAAUGCAGGCAAGAUAUACCCCUCUUUGUGCUGAACCCAUCCUCACGGGCUUAAAAUAAACCAGAACAACAUGAUGUGCUCCGAGCAUAUGUCUCCCAUCGCCUCCUUUCUGGGGGCAGAGGGAGGCGAGCUGUCUGCUGCACACACGCUCGGACCCGUUCUGUCCCCAGAGCUGCCGGCCGGGUCGCGGUGCCCCCUGACUGUAACCCUGAGGUCCCAGUGUCCAGGGGGACUUGAAGAGAUCAAGGCUUUUCCCAUGCCGGAGACGGCUGGAGCACCAGGCAGGGAUUAAAUCACAAAGGCAAUGAGUACAGAAAACAAUCAACAGGUAAGAGUCCUAAAUCGGACACAUUUAUGUCCUCCACGGAAAACGUCUGGCGCUUGGGUUUGUCAGCGAGAAGUCGAUGGGCAUAUUUGCAAAAGACCUCGUAUCCUUCUUCCUCUCUUCAUGUAGGCAAAAUACCCCUGCUUUCUAAAAUAAAAACACAUGCCACUGUAACUCAGCAAAGAAAAGCGGAAUCGCUGAGAUAAUUUUUAUAUUAAAAAUGAGCGAGAGACUGCUAUCUGGACUUCAUACCUGGGGGAGCAUCUUCUCCAAGUGUCAAUAAUUUAACUGUCAACUCACAACAAAACGCUAAUCCUGUCUCGGGGGCCAUACUGGCAGCUUAGAAGGAGAGAUUUUAAUUGUAAUUACUAAGAGCAAACGCUGAGGUUAAUAGCAAAUGUUGCUUUCAGGGAUUCUCCAGACAGGGCUGGGUCAUAACUAAUUUAUUCUUAUCUUACCCAUCUAUCUAUGUGCCAGAUUAAAAUAUUUAUAUCAGUCUGUUCGCUUUAAGACAGGGCGGUCACAGGCAGCAGCUCCAAGGCUGUUCCCUCAUUUUUCACAGUUUUAGCUGUUCAUUGUUUGCAGAAAUGCCAUCUUAGAGCGGCGGGUACUUUCCAAUGCUGGCGAUUGCUCUGAGCGGGGGCAGCCCGCUAUGCCCUCUACCAGGGAAACCUCUGCCCGGGCUCCAGACGCUGCUGGGCCACGGUGACCGGGCCGUGCCAAAGCCGCCUCCUGGGAGAGGCUGAUGAAGUCACACAGGCCCGAGCCCGGCUCCCAAGAGGGCGGCGGAUGUGGCCCCAGAGCCUGGUGGGGAGGUGCAGGCAUGGCAAGGCUGGCAACGUGCCAAAGCUCUUGCAGAACAGUGGCCCAGGAUUCCAACUCAGAACGGCCCUGCCUGGUGUUGGAGAAAGUCUUCACCUUAACCACGGCAUCCCGGCCUUGUUCCAGAUCACCCCACAGCCCCCCACAGGGCCAGGGCUGUUGGCUCCUCCAGGUAGCUGCAUGUCCUGGGAAAUGAAUCAACCCGCGCUGUUCCCCGACCUCUGCCCGGAGGAGCGAUCAUCCUGAGGGCAGAGGCCCACCCACAGGGCUUUGCCAGGCCCGGGGCCAGGCCCUCUGUCCAUGGGACAGCCCAGCACACGUGCCCUCCUCUGCAGCCCUCAGAGUCCUCACUUGUAUGACGGGGAAGGAGCCUUUGCAUCACCAGGGCCUGGGAGGGCCCCCCAGAAGUGCAUCACAGCCGGGGAAGAGGCACACACACAGGGGGACCCAGGGCCUCAGUUUCCCUGACCUUCCCAGGUACAAUCAAGCUCAAGCUCCGGACUCAAAGCGGGAGGGAGGUGGCAUCUCUUCCAGGCUUGUCUCAGGGAAGGGUCAGGUCCCGGGUCUCUGGGUGUCACCCUCUUGAGGUAGUGCGGACCGCGUUUCUUUGUGGUCAGAAGGAGCCCAAGUCAAAGGCGUGGGCAUUGGGAUUAUCCCGUUGGCCCAAGGAACUGGUCACCCUGCAAACCAGAGAACCAGCUCCAGCUGCGGUCAGAGACAGACGAGGGGACCAGGGCCCAGGGACUCAGGAGGCCCCUGAACCAGAGCCUCAGAAGGAACCAGCCCUGCCCUCAGCUUGGCGCUAUCCCGGAGAGACCCCUUUCGGCCACCUGAAACUUUAGACUGCCCAAGAUGGCGCGGGGGUGCAGGUCGUUGGCCUGGCUUAGCUCAGCAUGGGCAGAGCCCUGCACACCUUCCCCAGCGCCAUGUGGGAAAAGAUAAUAAGUAAACUUUGUGGUGCCAGCCACAUGUCAGUGGGAGGCUGUUAGGCAGCCCGGGACACUAAAGUCCCCUCCUCCACCCCAGUGUGCCCAGGGGACGCGGCCAUGUGGCACUCACCUGCUGGACCCGGGGGGCCGUGGAUGAGCGUGCCUUGUCCCCCCACUCAGGGCCUUCAGCCGGGCAGACUGACACUCCUCUGCCAGGAUUCUAAGAUCACUUCCUGGGGAUCCGCUUCUCCCCCUCCCUCCCCCACCUUCCCCUCCCCCUCCCCCACCUUCCCCCCCUUCCCCUUCUCCUCCUCCUCCUCCUCCUCCUCCUCCUCCUCCUCCUGGCCAUCUAGGAACCCUUGCCCUGGAGUGGGCACCAUGCUAAAGGCUACAUCCUUCCAACACCACAGCUCCAUCUUUCCAGCUCCAGCCGGACGGGCGAGUGAGCUGGGCGGCCUAUCUGGCCACCCGUGGGCCCUAUCCAUAGGGUGGUGGGACAGGGGCUGUUUUCUGUGCUGUCCUCCUUAUGCCAAAGGCACAGAACCUCUGGUGUCCGCGCGUUGGGCCGGGGCCAGGACCUCUGCUCAUGGAGCCGGGCUUUGUCUGUGCAGUGCCGGUGGCAGAUGCCAGGCCAUCGGCAUGGCCACCUACCAAAGACUGCAGCUCGGGCACCUGGGCAAGGCAGGUCUUCUGAGAUGACCCCAGGACGGGAAGGCCUGGGUCCACCAGCUUAGGAGACAGCAGCCUUCAUGGCGUUGGCAGGAGAGGACAUGGAAAAAUGCAGGAGGAGCCUGGCGCCCAGUAAAUAAACCAAAGAGCAGAACAGAAGGUGGAUGAUGGGAAACAGAGAGAUUGAUCUUUUGCAAACUGGGAGGGACCAAGAGAUGGACGGAGGGUAUGCACAGGGGACCAGGGUACCACGCGGUGACCAGCUGACCCCGUAAGUGUCAUCGUUAAGUACUGCAAACAGGGACUCACAAAAAUACAAACCUAAAACAGGAUUGGUUAAGAAGAUUCACCCAGCAGGACUUUCACUUGCCAGUAAAACUGCUUUGCCCCUCAGAGCCUCCUGACACAGGCAAAGCGUGACGAUCAAAUAUUCAGUGAACUGCUCAGAAGGAAAAAUGAUCUACAGUAACCAGAGGCCCAGAUACUGAUUAAAAGAAAAAACAGAACAAAAAAGACAGGUCGCUUUCAGCAGGGCCACAUGUCGCCACCUUGUGCUGGCCAGCAAUGGACGGCGAGGCUCUGACACUGCCCGGCUCCAUGUUGCCAGCUUCUGCCAGGGUCCCGUUUAUCUGGCCUCACUAGCCCCUUCUCUUCUCAUAUUUUGUCCAAGUGUUCAGACUUAGAGACAUGAGGGCGCAGGCCCAGCAAACCAAAGCCCAAGUGCGCAGUCGGGUUCAGAAGGAGGCGGGCGGGCAGGCUGGCUAGCUCAACCCUGGGGUGCUGGACGCGCUGCAGGAGAAGAGGGUUCUGUUUUGUAGACUCGCACAUACCGACCAUUUGCGGUGCUCUUUCUGGAGACUAAAACCUGCACCUCUGCCAAGUCCCCAUGUUUCCCCAGGGAAAACCAGACAUCAGACCUGGAGCCCCUGGCCCACAGGACAGCCGUCUCCUGCCGACGAAGGCUCGGGAGGGUUCCUUCAGCCCGCAGCUCCUGCACAUCCCCACCAGAGCUGCAGGGAGCUCCCCGUCCCGGGUGGCAUUCAACAGACUGAGCAGCCAGGGCAGCAGUGCUGUGCAGGGGCCCCCUUCCCAGAUGGGAGGUCUGCCGGACACCCUGACUAAUGCUUCUCUCCCUGCCCAACACUGGUGGUUUAAUCCCGGGCCUUCCCCUGAGCUACAUUUCCUGGCCCUUUGCAAAAUCUAUUUUUUUGUUUUUAAAGAUUUGAGACAUGGCCUCACUAUAUUACUUAAACUGUCCAGGCUGGGCUUGAACUUGUGAUCGUCCUCAAGACCAGGGAUGUAGCUCAGUGCUAGGACACUUCUCUAGCACCUGUGCCACCACGGUUCAGAUCUCAGCAACAGGAAACAAAAAACAAAAAAACCUUGUGAUCCUCCUGCCUCAGCCUCUUGGUGCUGGGAUUAUAAGCAUGCAGCACCACGUGGGCUCUGGAGCCACCAGUGCACGGGGUGUCCAGCGGCUGCAGAGGCUUCUCAGUCCCCAGUGCUCAGAGCAGGAUGUGGGCACGAGAAACGAGCUCGGAGGGAAGAGGAGACACACCAGCCACUGAGAGUGGAGGGAAGAUUCGGAGACAGGGCUGGAGAAGGCAGGAGCGGCCCGUCCGGCCCGGGAGCACAGCAGCUACGCCAACUGUGUGCUUCGAACGCCGAGUCCAUGAGGAUUGCUCCCGACCCCCCAGCAACACAUCUGAGGCACAACAGCUAACGACCCGUUUGACAAGAAGGUAAACUGAGGCUAAGAGGCAAGAUCAGCUCACUAGGCCUGUCUUGCCCCAGGCAGAGCUGACCCUGCUGGUCACCACUACGCCCAGGCUUUCAAUACCGGGGCCAAGGGCAAGGUUCCAGUUCAGGAUCACUUUCCUCUAUCACAUGCCAGCUGCUUGGGAGCAGGGCACAGCCACUGCCCUGGUAUCCAGGGCCCCGCAGCCCUGGGAAUCUCACCGCAGAGGACUCUGGGUAUCGUGUGGCCUGGGGUGGCCCAGAAGGUGCAGGUGCUCCCUGGAGGCUGGGAGCGAGGCCUGCGGUGGCUUAGGGCCCUGGUUAAGUUCAGAGGGGGACCAGGCUGGGGUGGGGGAGCAGCAGAUGCCCCACACGAUUCCCCAGGGGGCCUGGGACCUUAGGGGCCUCUGUCCACAGCUGCUGUGGGUCCCUCGCCCCCGCCAUGCCCCUGGCACACGGCUGCCCCAUGCAGAGCAGGCAGGGUGGUGGCAGUGGCACCCAGGGUGGCCACGGACUGCACUCAGGCUGGAGCAGGGAACAAAGCCCAGACCCCCAGUUCCUCUCGCAGCGCUGAUGGGGACGCAGGCUGCAGUCCCAAGCCCCAGUCCUGGCUGGGUGCAGAGCCCCCGGGCCUUGGAGGGUGGCACCUGAGCACAGGGCGCGGGCAGGGCCGCACGGAGAAGCUGAGGGACCCCGCGUGAUUUUUCCCCUUUAAGAGCCCUGGCUGCGCAGCUGAGCCCCGGGAGGGAGAUGUCGGGAAAGAUUCCCUCCCCAACUUCCCGGCCUUUGUUCCCGACCAGCCGGGAGGGCGUGGGGCGGGGCGGGGCGCAGCUGCGCUGCAGGCGGCCACCCUGGGGCGCUGCCCACCCUGCAGAGCGGCCUGGCGACCCGCCGCUGCCGGCCACUGCUCACCUGGUCAUCUCCGCGGGGUCAAGUUCAUGGCCGGCUGCAGACUGUCCCCAGGCUGCCGGGCUGUCACCCAGGCCUGGCCACCCCAACUUUGUGCACAGUCUCUGAGCUGGAAGUUUCCGGGCUGCACUGACGCUGGGCUGGGUUUCAGCAGGACGUCUGAACUUGGCAACAAACGGAGAGAGGGAGGAAGAAGCCAGGGAAAGAGGGCCACCGGGAGAGGCCCGGAGCCCCAAACUCCACCGUGCUCUCGCGCUCUCGCAGGCAGGCAAGCAGUUUUGUUGGGUUUUUUUCUUAAGCUGUAAAUGAGAAAGAACACCCCAUUCCGGACAGCCCCUGCCCGGCCCCUGAGAUGUGACAGCCCAAUCCCGAGGACACCUUUGGGUCCACCGGGCCCACUCCCAAGGGUGCCGGGGGCAGUCGGGGCAGAUGGAGGCGACAGUGGGCACCUCACCGCAGCACUGCUGCUGCCCCCCUCCGGCAACCCCAGCGCACGGCCCAGCAGAGGGGCCAGUUGGGGUGCCAGGCCGGGGUCAGGUGCUCAGCAUCUGCAGGCUGGCAUUGUGUCCCCAGUGUCCCCCAGGGGCUCCAGGGGUGGAAUUCACCCUCUCCCAGGGUGCAUGGGGCAAAGCUUCUUACUGUGUUUCCAUGGUAACAAGACUGGGCUCUCUGUUUCAGUUUUUUUUCCCUUUCUUACUGGGCCGGUGAUCCCAGGCCUUCACCUUAGGCUACACACCCAGCCCUUUUUAUUCAUUAUUUUUUAUUUUUAAGGCAGGGUCUAAAUUGCCCAGGUGGGACUCAAACUCAUGAUCCUCCUGCCUCAGCCUCCCAAGUGCCACAUACGCAAAAGGACCCACUCCCGCUGCUUGGCUGGCCUCCAGCUUCAAGUUUCUAUCUUUCUUUCCCUCCUUUCUUGCGUGUGUGCGUGUGUGUGUGUGCGUGUGUGUGUGUGUGUGUGUGUGUACUAGGCAUUGAACCCAGGGCCUUUGCACGGAGCUGCAUACCCCAAUGCAUUUGUCUGUUUUACAAUGAGACAGGAUCUCAGGGUGGCCACACCACCCCCGCAGGGCUGGAACUUUCCAGCCCUCUGCCUCGGCCUCCCCUGCUGCUGGGCUCAGGCCAGCACUGCUAUCUUGUCUUGGGCUCUGCACACUGUGUAGCUGACCCUGACCUUGGCUGUGGCUCACGCUGUCCUGCGGAACGGAGGUAAAUGCCUGUGACUUGUGUGUUUCUUUUCCUAAACUCUGCAUAUGGAAAUCCAGACCCUAAGCAACCAGAAUAAACAACCUUUCAGUUGAAGACCUCAGUGUUUAAGAGGCUGGAAGCUGGGACGAUAGCGCAAUCUGGGGAGCAGGAGUGGCCCCUGUGCCCUGAGUUCUCAUCUGGGAGGACGCUGGGCCCCAGGUCCACACACUCUGGGACUCGCCCAGCAAGCAGCACAACUUUGAGAAUUUCUUUACGGCUACAGACUCGGAGCAGAGCUGACCCAGGGCAGGUCGUGGUGACAGGAAGUUCCGUGUGCGGCCCACACGGGAGUGGGGCUGCUGGCGUUCCGAGUGUUUCCCGAAGCUGGAAGAAAGGGCUGUUUUCCUCCUAAAGUAACAGUAAAGGGAUCUUUAACCUGGUAUAAACUUAUACAAGGUAUGCAAUUCUGGAAACAUCACAUAGCAGCCUAUAAAAAUACACAAUUUUAUGUUUUGUGUAUCAGCUAAAAGUGAAUUAUACUUACAAAUGAACAGAUACAUGUAGCAAGGGCUGGCAGCACAGGUCUGUAAUCCCAGAACUGUGGGAGGCUGAAGCAGGAGGAUCAAAAAUUAGAGCCCAGCCUGACCAACUUAGUGACUGAGUGAGACCCUGUCUCAAAAUAAAAAUUAAGGCCUGAGGGUGUAGUUCAGUGCAAAGGCCCUGGGUUCAAUCCCCAAUACCACACACACACACACACACACACACACACACACACACACCACACACGUGGACUAAGCUGAGGCCACCUGUCCUCCAGGACUGCAAAGUGUGACAUUUGCGGUAUGAAAGUACCAGGGACAAAAGCUUCACAUCACACCCCGUCCUAACCUUCUGUGCCUCCGCUUUCUCAUGCGGGACUUGUUUAAAAACAAAUUAUUUUUAACAGUUCCAGGCUCUUAUUUUAAUUCCCACAGGCUGUUGCGGAAUCUGCUCAGUCCGUCAAGGUGGGUAAAAGAUCUGAAGCAGUCAGGCCUCCCCGUGACACCCUGGCACCCUGGUGAAGCCGGCUGGGGCCUGGCAGGGUGGGGACCGCUGUCGGGGGGUGGAGAUCAUGGGAGGCGGGAGCCCAGCCAGGCUGCUGGUCCAACUGGCCAGGAAAACAGCUCCGGUCCACAGCCCCACGCUGGGCUGCUCAGCUGCUGGGAGCCAGGCCUCUGUGGACUGAGGUUGGAGGGCAAGGCAAGUCCAGUCUGGGGUCAAGUCCCUAGCCUGUGGUGACUGGGCACAAGUUACUUCUCCUGAGCCUCAGUUUCCCCCAAUUUGGACAAGGAUUGGUGGUAAACAAGAGCCCUGAGCUCACAGCCUGCACAGGGUCACUGGCACACAGUCCAAGAGGCAGGAACCGGAGCCCAGGCCUGCAGUGGACACACAUAAGACGGGGCCCCAGGCCCGGUGGCCCACAGAGGAUGGUCGCCUGCCACACCCACAGGGUCCCUCCUUCUGCUCUGAGAGCCCACAGCUGGCCGCACCCAGAGAGCAGGCCACACUGCGGAGAGAUCCAGAGGGGACCAAAGCCAAUGGCCAGCGUCGGUCCCCCACUCGGAGGCUCCCCUCUUCCGGGAUGCCUUCAGUGCCCUGCCCUGGAGCCAGCCCACGUGUCCCAGGCCCGCUAUAGCCAGGAGAGAGAGAAAAAAAGACAACAAACAAGAUAAGCUUGAUCUUACAUAAUUUGUUUAUAAAAAGAAAAGUGUUCAUUAAGGAAAACUUGGGAAUACAGAAAGGCGCAAAAACAAAAAUUACCCAUGAGGCAAUCCUGGGUGCCUUUUCUUGGAAGUCCUUCUGGUGUAUUUUCCAAACCCUAUGUGCACGUGCACAUGUAUGUGUGUGUACACUCACACGUGUACAACGGGGCCUGCAGAGGGUAUAUGUAUAUAUGUGUAUGUGUUUAUGUGUAUACUUAGAUCAUACUACAGGUCAUUGUUAAACUCCUUCUUUUUCUGAGACGGGGUCUCUUUAUGGAAUGCAGGCGGUCCCUGCACUCAGUAUGCGGUCCAGGCUGGCUCUGAAUGCGUGGUCUUCCUGCCUCAGCCUCCCGAGUGCUGGGAUUAUAAGCCUGUGUCACCAUGCCUGGCAAUCUUUUCUCUUUCAUAUGGUAUAUUUAUCACUCAAUAUUGUUUCUUAUAAGGCUUACAAAAUAAAAGCUCUCGACUCAUUUUUAAA